ensembl:lncRNA
UUUUUUUUUUUUUUUUUGCUGAACAUGAUGACAAUUUUAAUUUCAAUAAUUAACUGUGAAAUACAAUUUAAAAAUUCAGUUGAGUCAAAAACACAAUGGAAAGAUUUGCAACUUAAUUUUAGCACCAAAAAAGUCCUUCUAAAGAACAUAUUUAUAGAGAGAUUAAAGAGCAUGUGCUUAAUAUACAAACAUGAAUGUUAACAAAUGCUCAUAAGAAAGCAGUGAGAGUACUGUUGGUUUUUCUGUAAAUAAAAACUGGUAAUUACCUAUUAAUCAUAGCAAAAAAAAAUGAGAUAAACAUAAAAUGUGCAUGUAGAGAGAACAUAUACACCAUUUGAUCUGUACUAAAGAAGAAGGUAAUGUUCUGGAAUUUUUUUUAUUUAUUAUCUCAGCGAGGUUAAUUUUUUUCAUAUACAUGAUGUUUUUCUGAGAUUUUUAAUCAAUCCUGACAGUUCUUCAGUUAAUUAUUAAAAUGCCUAAAGCUUCUGCAUGUAGUUCUUGUUGACAUAAUGGAAACAGAAUUGAAGAGUUUCUCUAAGCAAUUUAGUGAACAUACUGUUCAGAACAUAGGAACAGGGACAUCCUACCACAUUAUUUGACUGUUAAGAAGGGAAGUACUAUUAAGAAGUUAUGUUCUUUCAUCACAGAUAAUGGUGGAUUAGUGGUAACAUCCUAAAAACAGUUAGAAGUUACAAGUUCAUAUACAUGCACCUUCCUCCUAUUGCCUAGAUAUUUAUAUGACACUUCAGUAUCUCCCACACACUAUACCUGCAAUCAUCAAACUUUUUAUUUUGUUCCUAUAUUUAAAAAGGAUCCAGGAGGAAAAUUACUUCCUGCAUUUAUGGCCACAAGUCAGAAUAGCCCUGAGCUGUGUUCGUAAUGACAUUCCUUAUCUGUCGCAAUCUUGGCUUCUUUUAUUUGCUGGGAAUUUUGGGAACACUCUGUAUAGUAGUUACUCUAAACUUGUUCUUUUUCCUAAAACACUUCCACAUAAAAAAUAAAAAAAAAUUAAAAUUAAAAAAAAAAAAAGUGCAAAAGUGCAAUACAAUGUGAUGCAGAAUGUCCUAGGGUGACUGUUAUGGUGUUUGUAUCUCCAAUCGUGUGUUCUGUUUACGUUUGAUAUUAUGUUCUGUGCUUUCAGAACUGACUCUGAAAGUGAAGGUUUGUUUUGCUGUGUUAUCAUCUGGUUCACCUCCCCCCAUGGUCUGCUGUCUAAAAAGGCUAGGGCUGGCUGGCUGGCUUUUGCUUUGCUUGCUUGCUUGCUUGCUUGCUUGCUUGGCUUGCUUGCUUUGCCUGCUUUCUUGCUUUGCUUCCUAGUUAGGUUAAGCAGUCCAAUUCUUUCCAUGGACUGUUGCUUUUUCCUUUCCUCUUUCUGAAUAUCAUCCAACCUGCUCUGGACUGGGAUCUGGGAAACACCAAGGAACACCAGGAGCCUGCAUUUGGUGAUCUGCAGCAGCCAUCCCCAGCGUCCAGACCUGGGCGACCACUCCCAGGAAAGACCUUCUGGAUUUGUUCAUCUCUUCAGAGGGGUGAAAGAGUUUUGUUGUCAUCUAGUGUUGUUAAUUGUUUUGGUGCUGGGGAGUGCUUUGCUUGUUGAAUAAACAGGUUCUUUUCCACUUCUCUCUCAGAGGAGAUUUUUCCCUGAACCAGGUGGGUGGAGAGGGGCCGUGGGGGUUUAUUUCCUGGGUUUUCCCCAAAUUUGCCCUAAACUAGGACACAGGAUAAUAAAUUUAUACUGAAACAAAUCCAAUAAACUUGGAAAAUCUAUCCAUUUCAAUCACUGUAAACAGGCACCAAAACUGUUGGACAGAGUACAUUAGUGGGAAUAUUCAGCAGCUAUUUUACAGUGUUUGGAUUUUUUUAAACAGAAAAACGAGGGUCAAAGUAGUUACGAAAUUGCUGAAAUUGAGACAAUAAAGUUUCUGUGUUCCAUCCUCCUACAGGGCAAGGAAAGAAAAAAAUAGUAAAAAAGCUAUACAUCUGAAAGGCAUGCAGUUUCUCCUGCAUGUUUAAUGAAGCACUUUUCUGGCACACAGGGUUUUCAUUUAGUCUCUUUGGAUCUUUUCUCCGUUAGAUCUACAAGCAAGGCAGAGUGAAAGGAUCUCCCUCUGAUUUACGUAAACAGUGGAUGUAUGAGAGUAUACAGGAAUUGUCAAACUUCCAUAUCCUGUUUCUGAUAGCAGUCACUAUCACUGUCAGAAGAAAGCAGGCAACACUAACAAGAUAUCCCUAUCAACAUGGACAGCUGUUCCCACCCUCUGAAACUGGUUCAUGUCUAGAAGAUAACUAACAUCAAAACAACUGUAAAAAAAAAUACAAAUAGUCUUGUUACCUUUACAAAGCAGCAGCCUGCUCUUUAGUCCUUUGGCUUGGAUGUUACCUUCUAGUGUAUUUCCAAGAGAACAUCUCCUAUCUCCAUCACAUCACAAGAUCCCACCUCUUACUCAAUUUUAUUGCCUAACGAUAGAAGACUGUUCUUUUUCCCAGGCAGAAGACACACUUCUAGUGCAGGAUUGCCAGGGGCAACAUACAGAAAUAAAUUGUACCAGGUUUCUACUCUAAAACCACUCUCAAUAUAUAACAGUGAUAUGUUGGAAUUAUGCAGUGUAUUUGGCCAUCACAAAAAUUCAGAAUUUAUUAGAUAUUAUUACACAACUUUCUAUGGAAAGGUACUAGCAAUAUCAAAGUAGAUUCCCUCACACUCUCUACUUUAUUAGUGAAACUGGUGCUGCUUCCUAGCAUCAGACAACAAUUUGGAAGUCAUGGAGACCUUCCAAAAAUGCAUAUAAUUUUUAAGAAAUUAUGUGAAACCAACCAAAAGAACAAUUAAAACUUUUUUCCACAGCCCUAGUACUCUGAUUACAUUUAAGAAGUCAUGACUGCUUCAAAGUAAUCUCAAAUGUGAUUCAAAAAAGAAAAUUGGAAAAGGAGCUUUUUCAAUGUGAAUGUUGAGUAUUUCCACUUGGAAAACU